rnacentral:rRNA from 1 species
AGUGGCGGACGGGUGAGUAACGCGUGAGAAUCUGCCUUGGGGUCGGGGACAACCACUGGAAACGGUGGCUAAUACCGGAUAAGCCGAUUGGUGAAAGAUUUAUUGCCCGAAGAGGAGCUCGCGUCUGAUUAGCUAGUUGGUGAGGUAAGAGCUCACCAAGGCAGCGAUCAGUAGCUGGUCUGAGAGGACGAUCAGCCACACUGGGACUGAGACACGGCCCAGACUCCUACGGGAGGCAGCAGUGGGGAAUUUUCCGCAAUGGGCGAAAGCCUGACGGAGCAAGACCGCGUGAGGGAGGAAGGCUCUUGGGUUGUAAACCUCUUUUCUCAGGGAAGAAGCUCUGACGGUACCUGAGGAAUCAGCCUCGGCUAACUCCGUGCCAGCAGCCUCGGUAAUACGGAGGAGGCAAGCGUUAUCCGGAAUUAUUGGGCGUAAAGCGUCCGCAGGUGGCGAUUCAAGUCUGCUGUCAAAGCACGGGGCUUAACUCCGUAAAGGCAGUGGAAACUGAAUAGCUAGAGUGCCGUAGGGGUAGAGGGAAUUCCCGGUGUAGCGGUGAAAUGCGUAGAGAUCGGGAAGAACAUCGGUGGCGAAAGCGCUCUACUGGACGGCAACUGACACUCAGGGACGAAAGCUAGGGGAGCGAAUGGGAUUAGAUACCCC